GAUGAGUAGAGCCUAGUAAGCAGUGCGUCGCUCCAGUCGUGGGGAAUUCAAUGGUGUAAAAGAGAGGAGCGAGACGUUCACUAUCAGCUGACCCGUAGCCAGCAUGGGUCGGCGCUCCUCUGACAGCGAGGAUGACAGUCGGAGCCGGAGGAAAAGAAAACAGCGUCGCCGUUCUUCGUCCUCCUCGUCUUCCUCCUCUUCUGGGAGCCGGGUGAGGAGUAGUCGCAGCAGGAG